rnacentral:rRNA from 1 species
GACGUAGGGUGCAAGCGUUGUCCGGAUUUACUGGGCGUAAAGGGCGCGUAGGCGGCCUCCGCAAGUCGACUGUGAAAUCUCCGGGCUUAACCCGGAAAGGUCAGCCGAAACUGCGGGGCUAGAGUGCAGAAGGGGCAACUGGAAUUCUCGGUGUAGCGGUGAAAUGCGUAGAUAUCGAGAGGAACACCUGCGGCGAAGGCGGGUUGCUGGGCUGACACUGACGCUGAAGCGCGAAAGCUAGGGGAGCGAACGGG